rnacentral:piRNA from 1 species
CAAAAGGAAAAACAAAAAGGAGCUG